GGAAUCUUGGACAAUGGGGGCAACCCUGAUCCAGCCAUGCCGCGUGAGUGAAGAAGGCCUUAGGGUUGUAAAGCUCUUUCGGCGGGGAAGAUAAUGACGGUACCCGCAGAAGAAGCCGCGGCUAACUCCGUGCCAGCAGCCGCGGUAAUACGGAGGGGGCUAGCGUUGUUCGGAAUUACUGGGCGUAAAGGGCACGUAGGCGGAUUGUUAAGUCGGAGGUGAAAUCCUGAGGCUCAACCUCAGAAUAGCCUUCGAUACUGGCGAUCUCGAGUACGGGAGAGGUGAGUGGAAUUCCCAGUGUAGAGGUGAAAUUCGUAGAUAUUGGGAAGAACACCAGUGGCGAAGGCGGCUCACUGGCCCGUAACUGACGCUGAGGUGCGAAAGCGUGGGGAGCAAAC
rnacentral:rRNA from 1 species